rnacentral:rRNA from 1 species
AUUGAACGCUGCGGCAGGCUUAACACAUGCAAGUCGAGCGAGCGGCGGACGGGGGAGUAAUGCUUAGGAAUCUGCCUAUUAGGGGGGGAGAACAACUCGAAAGGGAUGCUAAUACCGCAUACGAAUAGAUGAGGCUAAGUCGGAUUUGCUAGUUGGUGGGGUAAAUGCCUACCAAGGCGACGAACUGUAGCGGGUCUGGGAGGAUGAUGCGCCACCCUUGUACUGUGACACGGCCCAGACUCCUACGGGAGGCAGCCAUGGGGAAUAUUGGACAAUGGGGGGAAACCUGAUCCAGCCAUGCCGCGUGUGUGAAGAAGGCCUUAUGGUUGUAAAGCACUUUAAGCGAGGAGGCGUUACUCGCAGAAUAAGCACCGGCUAACUCUGUGCCAGCAGCCGCGGUAAUAC